rnacentral:rRNA from 1 species
GAUGAACGCUAGCGGCAGGCUUAAUACAUGCAAGUCGAGGGGCAGCACGGUUAGCAAUAACUGGUGGCGACCGGCGCACGGGUGCGUAACACGUAUACAAUCUACCUUAAACAGGGGAUAGCCUUUCGAAAGAGAGAUUAAUACCCCGUAAUAAAUUGAACGGCAUCGUUUGAUUUUGAAAGCUCCGGCGGUUUGAGAUGAGUAUGCGUCUGAUUAGCUAGUUGGUGAGGUAACGGCUCACCAAGGCGACGAUCAGUAGGGGAUCUGAGAGGACUAACCCCCCACACUGGUACUGAGACACGGACCAGACUCCUACGGGAGGCAGCAGUAAGGAAUAUUGGUCAAUGGAGGCAACUCUGAACCAGCCAUGCCGCGUGCAGGAUGACGGCCCUAUGGGUUGUAAACUGCUUUUAUACAAGAGAAAACCCCUGGUACGUGUACCAGGUUGAUAGUAUUGUAAGAAUAAGCAUCGGCUAACUUCGUGCCAGCAG